GGACGAACGCUGGCGGCGUGCCUAACACAUGCAAGUCGAGCGAGGAGAUCCUUCGGGAUGAUCCUAGCGGCGGACGGGUGAGUAACACGUGGGCAACCUGCCUCAUAGAGAGGAAUAGCCUUCCGAAAGGGAGAUUAAUACCUCAUAACAUUGCAGUUUCGCAUGGAACAGCAAUUAAAGGAGUAAUCCGCUAUGAGAUGGGCCCGCGGCGCAUUAGCUAGUUGGUGAGGUAACGGCUCACCAAGGCGACGAUGCGUAGCCGACCUGAGAGGGUGAUCGGCCACAUUGGGACUGAGACACGGCCCAGACUCCUACGGGAGGCAGCAGUGGGGAAUAUUGCACAAUGGGGGAAACCCUGAUGCAAGCAACGCCGCGUGAGUGAUGACGGCCUUCGGGUUGUAAAGCUCUGUCUUCAGGGACGAUAAUGACGGUACCUGAGGAGGAAGCCACGGCUAACUACGUGCCAGCAGCCGC
rnacentral:rRNA from 1 species